CACCAAGUGCUGAACAAAUCAUGGGUAACUCUUUGUCUCUACCGACUGGAGCUACUGCUAGUCCUGACAUUGGCAACCUUCUUCCUCCAAGGCCAAUCAUGAAUUCACUCUAUGAUCCAAAGUUUGAGGAGCUUGGACUGCCAAUUGAUCCCCAUCUGAGGCUAUUUGCUAAGUACAAGAAAUGAGAAUUUUGUGGGGACUUCUCAAGUGUGCUGAUUGAUGUCAACAAGUACAGAGUUCUGAUUUUUAGUGAAUAAAUCUUAGGAGCAAGUUGUUCAAACAUUGGAUGAUAUUUUUAUUAAGAUUUUUAAAUUGCAUUACUUUGCCAGCGUCACCUAUAUUUUGGGCAUGAAAGUUGCAUCAGGAGGUGUCUUUCUCUAUAAAUUGAGUUACCUUUAGUCUGCUUUUAAGUUAUAGAAUUAAGUUGAUGAGUGUAAGAGCUGGUGUAGUUGUCUUCUUGUUGUUGUUGUUUUGGGUGUGUGUUUUUUAUUUGAUGUUUCUUAAUAUUGUAACCUUGUUUUGGGGUGUUUGGAAUUUUAUCAAUUAAAAUUUCAACCUUAGCAAAA